GACGAACGCUGGCGGCGUGCUUAACACAUGCAAGUCGAACGGAAAGGCCCUGCUUUUGUGGGGUGCUCGAGUGGCGACCGGGUGCGUAACACGUGCGUAACCUGCACUUGACUUUGGGAUAACUUCAAGACACUGGGGCUAAUACCGGAUAGGUGCUCCGUCUGCAUGGUGGGGGCUGGAAAGUUUCGGCGGUUGGGGAUGGACUCGCGGCUUAUCAGCUUGUUGGUGGGGUAGUGGCUGACCAAGGCUUUGACGGGUAGCCGGCCUGAGAGGGUGACCGGCAACCGGGGGACUGAGCUACGGCACGGACUACUAAGGAAGGCAGGUGUGUGGAAGUUAGCACGAUGGGCGGAAGCAGGAUGCAGCAACGCCGCGUGAUGGAUGACGGACUUCGUGUUGUAAGCCGCUUUCGCCUGUGACGAUGCGUGAGUGAAGGUAAUGGGUGAAGAAGCACCGGCUAAUUACGUG
rnacentral:rRNA from 1 species